GACGAACGCUGGCGGCGUGCCUAAUACAUGCAAGUUGAGCGCUGAAGGUUGGUACUUGUACCAACUGGAUGAGCAGCGAACGGGUGAGUAACGCGUGGGGAAUCUGCCUUUGAGCGGGGGACAACAUUUGGAAACGAAUGCUAAUACCGCAUAAAAACUUUAAACACAAGUUUUAAGUUUGAAAGAUGCAAUUGCAUCACUCAAAGAUGAUCCCGCGUUGUAUUAGCUAGUUGGUGAGGUAAAGGCUCACCAAGGCGAUGAUACAUAGCCGACCUGAGAGGGUGGUCGGCCACAUUGGGACUGAGACACGGCCCAAACUCCUACGGGAGGCAGCAGUAGGGAAUCUUCGGCAAUGGACGAAAGUCUGACCGAGCAACGCCGCGUGAGUGAAGAAGGUUUUCGGAUCGUAAAACUCUGUUGGUAGAGAAGAACGGUGGUGAGAGUGGAAAGCUCAUCAAGUGACGGUAACUACCCAGAAAGGGACGGCUAACUACGUG
rnacentral:rRNA from 1 species